UGAGGAAUAUUGGUCAAUGGGCGAGAGCCUGAACCAGCCAAGUAGCGUGCAGGAUGACGGCCCUAUGGGUUGUAAACUGCUUUUAUAUGGGAAUAAAGUGAGGGACGUGUCCCUUAUUGCAUGUACCAUACGAAUAAGGACCGGCUAAUUCCGUGCCAGCAGCCGCGGUAAUACGGAAGGUCCAGGCGUUAUCCGGAUUUAUUGGGUUUAAAGGGAGCGUAGGCUGUUUGUUAAGCGUGUUGUGAAAUGUAAGAGCUCAACUUUUAGAUUGCAGCGCGAACUGGCAGACUUAAGUGCGCACAACGUAGGCGGAAUUCAUGGUGUAGCGGUGAAAUGCUUAGAUAUCAUGACGAACUCCGAUUGCGAAGGCAGCUUACGGGAGCGCAACUGACGCUAAAGCUCGAAGGUGCGGGUAUCGAACAGG
rnacentral:rRNA from 1 species